rnacentral:rRNA from 1 species
UACGUAGGGUGCAAGCGUUAAUCGGAAUUACUGGGCGUAAAGCGUGCGCAGGCGGUUUUGUAAGUCUGUCGUGAAAUCCCCGGGCUUAACCUGGGAACUGCAUUUGUGACUGCAAGGCUGGAGUACGGCAGAGGGGGAUGGAAUUCCGCGUGUAGCAGUGAAAUGCGUAGAUAUGCGGAGGAACACCGAUGGCGAAGGCAAUCCCCUGGGCCUGUACUGACGCUCAUGCACGAAAGCGUGGGGAGCAAACAGG